UACCUACGGGAGGCAGCAGUAGGGAAUAUUGCUCAAUGGGGGAAACCCUGAAGCAGCAACGCCGCGUGGAGGAUGAAGGUUUUCGGAUUGUAAACUCCUUUUGUUAGAGAAGAUAAUGACGGUAUCUAACGAAUAAGCACCGGCUAACUCCGUGCCAGCAGCCGCGGUAAUACGGAGGGUGCAAGCGUUACUCGGAAUCACUGGGUGUAAAGGGCGUGCAGCCGGAGAGACAAGUCAGAUGUGAAAUCCACGGGCUCAACCCGUGAACUGCAUUUGAAACUGUUUACCUUGAGUGUCGGAGAGGG
rnacentral:rRNA from 1 species